CUACGUUCUCGUGCUGCUAUUACUUUCUGACCAAAAUAUCAUAACUUUGGGAUAUAUUUUAGGCUUUUCUGGUAGAUAAGCACCUGUACCCUGUAGCAAAAAUAGAAAGAAAGCAGUGAAAGGAAAACCCUCAAAUGAAUCUUCGUCGAAUAUGUCCCGAUGCGGCGAGGCCUGUGGCAUAUUGCCGCAGUUUCCUGAGCAAAAUACCUAAGUAACCCAACCUACUCCAAGGCAAUCCUUACCCUAACCUUUAGUUGUCUCGAUUAACAUUAACAUACAUGUCCAAGCCAAAAGAAAGAAAGAAAGCGAUGUGGGGGAGGGGAUAUUAAAAUAAAUCAAAACCAUCAUCGAAGCUGAAAAACACCCAUAUCAUUACUGUCAAAGGAGCAUGAUUCAGAGUUCAGCUUCAAAAGGGGGUCUGCGGUCGCCCACCAUAAAAACGGAGAACAUCCCCUCCUGGGACUGGAAACAGCGAGAAGAAAGGAGAUAACUCGUUAAAGGACAUAAAGAACUGCCUAUCGUCUAUAACAAAUCUGCUAGUUUAUAUCGAUCUAUUUAAAUUUCCAAGUCACCACACUCUGGUUUUCUCCUGUUCUUCUAUCACAAAGCAGGAAAAGAUGUAUGUACUGUACAGUAGUUACGGUAGUACAGUAUCUGCAUACAUAUAUUUUAUUGUCUUCCCUCAUCUCUUCUAUCAAGGAGAUAGUUGGAAGAAGGGAACAAUCUGCACUUUUCAAUGCAUAACUAGUUCAAGCUGAUCAUGGAUAAGAAGAAUUUAAUUUCAUAUAUAUAUGUAUGUGGUGGAAAAUAGAAUGGAAAUGUAGCAGGGAGAAUUUUGUAAGUUACUUGUUCUGUAAUAUAUUAUAACUACAAUGAAAGCUUAGGGAAUACUUUUGCUAUAUCGGUCAAUAGUAAUCUUGAUGGCGAUGAACAGAGUAAUUAUUGAUAGUUGUCUGCACAGCUGUUUCUCUCUACACUAAGAAUCACUAUGGAAUUACGAAUACCGGG
rnacentral:sRNA from 1 species